AUGUUUCCUUGAGAAACACAUGACCAAUAAGUCAGAACAAUCAACCCUUUGAUGUGAAGACUGGCUAGCCAGCCCAUCAGGCCUGUGAAAUAUACCAGCAGCAAAGCACUAGCCUGCAUUUAGAGAAGUGAUCAGUCUGCCUGGAGUAGCUAACAUGAUUCAGGUUUUGCAGAAGGAAAUGAACUAACUUGAGACCAGAGCCUGCCAACCCUUACUUGUACAGCUCUUCAUGCAAAUUUCAGAUGUCUCCCUCUCAGUGGCAACUCUUUAUAUGAUGCCAGGGCCUUCACAUCAUAUACAGGAUCGAGACUAACACGGCUACCCCUCUGAUAGUAGAAGAAAGUGGUUCUUGAACUCAGGGCUCUGGACUGAACAGAACCCAUAAACAGAAUUUGGUAUGUGGAAUGAGGAAAAUAUGGUGAGUUAAAUAAAACAGGAGGCCAGCCAUGCAUCAGCUAGUCUGCAACUCAGAUUGGAUUUGUAUUGAGGGCUCAUCAAAAUGCACAUCGGAAACAAGAUCUGCCCAUCAGCUUGCUGAGA